rnacentral:lncRNA from 10 species
CACUGAUCCAAAUUAACUAGGAUGGCUCCAAGUGGUAGAUGGUACUAACAGCAAGCUGCAGAUAAGGAGGGUAGGCCCUACUUCCAUGUGAGGUAAUUAGAUACAGUUUUUGCUGAAAUCUCAGGUAAAGGAUAUAUUAGAGACCUAAGCAUAGAAUUGGAAGGAGCAAAUUGCUGUCUGGUUCAGGCUUCUCAGACUAUAAGUUGCUAUGAUCUCCACCUCAGGAUCUUGUUAAAAUGCAGAUUCUGGUGGUGGUGGUGGCCAGGGGCUGUGGGGAGGGAAAAUGAGGAGUUACGGUUUAAUGGGCAUAGAAUUUCAGUUUUGGAAGAUGAAAAGAGUUCUAGAGAUCUGUUGCAUGACAAACGUUACCUGACAGUUAAGGAGAGGAGCUGCUAAAUGGGUCGUGUGUUUCUGAAUGGGUUCCUGAUAGUCCUGUGACCAUGCGGAAGCCAGCACUCCUCAUCCCCACCAACAUAAUUCAUCAUGAGGAGAGACAGAAAGAAACCUUUGUGGUGUCAAGCAGCAAAACAAAACAAAAAGAUUCAAAUUAAGUUGGUUUGGGUGGGGCCUGAGAUUCUGCAUUUUUCCCAAGUCCCUAGGUGCUGCCAGUGCUGCUGGUGCACAGACCAUCUUUGAAUAGCAAGGCUCUAGAUAACUGGGCUACAGAUGAACUCUGGAAGCAGCUGAAGAACGGUUGGCUGUUCCAUCCUAAGCAGUUACUCUGAUCUAGUCCAUUAUGCUAUAUACUGUUUUCGCUCAUCUCUUUUCAGAUUGGAAGCCUGCCUUUUACACAUUGCUUUUUACCACACGUUUCCAGAAAGUUAAAAUGCGGGGUAGAGGGAAUAAACUACAGGGAGACAAAUAAAUUAAAGAGAUGAGUUGAGGUGGAUAAGGAUAGCUUAAUAACAUGCAAGCUAAUUUACAAAAUUUCCAUAUAGGUUAUUAUUUUGGGCACAGUGGCUCAUGCCUAUAAUCCCAGCACUUUGGGAGGCCAAGGUGGGAGGAUCACCUGAGGUCAGGAGUUCAAGGCCAGCCUGGCCAACAUGAUGAAACUCCAUCUCUACAAAAAAUACAAAAAGCCAGGCGUGGUGGCAAAUGCCUAUAAUCCCAGCUACUCGGGAGGCUGAGGCAUGAGAAUUACUUGAACCCAGGAGGCAGAGAUCGCAGUGAGUUGAGAUUGUACCACUGCACUCCAGUCUGGGCAACAGACGGAGACUGUGUCUCAAAAAAAAGUGUUCUUGUAUACCAUGUUUGAAAAGCAUAGUUGAUAAAGGAAGAACAUGUAAGGCAA